UCCGGUUUGGCACCGGCAGUCUCCCCAGAGUUCCCGGCAUGACCCGCUGGCAACUGAGGACAAGGGUUGCGCUCGUUGCGCCACUUAAGGCAACACCUCACGGCACGAGCUGACGACAGCCAUGCACCACCUGUGCAGGCUCCGUAGAGCGCCGGCUUUCACCGGCUUUACCCUGCAUGUCAAGCCCAGGUAAGGUGGGGAUGACGUUCGUCUGAC
rnacentral:misc_RNA from 1 species